GAUGAGCGCUGGCGGCGUGCCUAAUACAUGCAAGUCGAGCGAACAGACGAGGAGCUUGCUCCUCUGACGUUAGCGGCGGACGGGUGAGUAACACGUGGAUAACAUACCUAUAAGACUGGGAUAACUUCGGGAAACAGGAGCUAAUACCGGAUAAUAUAUUGAACCGCAUGGCUCAAUAGUGAAAGAUGGGUUUGCUGUCACUUAUAGAUGGAUACGCGCCGCAUUAGCUAGUUGGUAAGGUAACGGCUUACCAAGGCAACGAUGCGUAGCCGACCUGAGAGGGUGAUCGGCCACGCUGGAACUGUGACACGGUCCAGACUCCUACGGGGGGCAGCAGUAGGGAAUCUUCCGCAAUGGGCGAAAGCCUGACGGAGCAACGCCGCGUGAGUGAUGAAGGUCUUCGGAUCGUAAAACUCUGUUAUUAGGGAAGAACAAAUGUGUAAGUAACUAUGCACGUCUUGACGGUACCUAAUCAGAAAGCCACGGCUAACUACGUGCCAGCCGCCGCAGUAA
rnacentral:rRNA from 1 species